rnacentral:tRNA from 1 species
UAAGACGAAGCUAUUACUAGCGUCUCUAAUGAGAAUAAAUUUGCUUAACCAAAUCGUCUUAA